ACUAUCAAUCUUGGCUUUUUAUCACUCGCCACGCACCGCGAUUGCCCGCUAUUGACACCGUUAUUAAGAUGACGCAAUUUGCUUCUCGAAGACGGCCGAUCGAUGCGAUGCCAUUGAUGAAAAAUUUAUGCGGCUGUUCAGUUACAUUUCCCGCCGACGAACGGGCAUCGCGCGCGAUGAAGCGGCGUAUCGUACUGAAUUAUAUUGGACGUUCGUGUGCCUCUUAUUUGCAAUUACACUCGUUGGAUAAUUAUACACGGACCGUAUGUACAGUGAACGGCUGCGGGAAUGAGAAGCGACAGAGCCAAGGGUAUUUUCUGUCUUGUGCGCUUGAUUUUUGCGUCGGCCACUGCUAAAAUAAACGGCUGUCUUUAAGUAAUUAAUGUUCUUGACGUACGGGUCCGUGGCGUGCAUUGGUGCCCGCAGCACAAGCGAAGACAUUUCUCGUCCUUAACGACGUGCCUUAAAUUAACGUCGUUUGUCAAAUUCAAGCCUGUCUGUAUGGUCUAAAUUAACAUCGCCUCGACUCGCGAGAUAGACUUUGUAACGGAAUGUCAGUAUUGUAAUAUCAUAAAUUAAAUGUGUAAAAUCGGGGUAAAAUAAACGCGUAUGCGGCUACCGCGCGGUUUGCUGCAGGGUAGACGUGCUGCACAAGCGGUGAACGUAUUAUAUAUAUUUUCGAACUGGUCUGACUACUUCUGGCAAAUUCUUUCCCCGUGAUUUUGUAUUCUUGUAGGCGCACGGGAGAACUGCCGAGUCGAUUUUAUAUGCGUGAAGAUCAUCGGCAACGAUGCGAAUCUUAUUGAACGGUAGAACAAGAACUGCCAAACGGAAUCCAGAUGCGCGAAGGGGGAGCGAAGCGAUCGGCGGUCGACUAAAAAUGGAGAAUAUUUAAUCCGCCGAAGAGAAAGAGGAUUGACGGGAGAAGCAGCGAAAGGCAGCUCCAAAAAGAUCAUGUUAUAUAAUAACGAGUGUAUUUACAGGUGGCCCACCUUGUCAAAGAUCGAGAGAAAGUUUUGGAUUUCGACAGACUGGCCACUUAAAUCUCUCGAGAGCCAUUUUGGGUGGGCGACGGGUUUGCUCUUGGCGAAAUUCGGCACGAUUCUUCUCGACUAAAAGGCGACAUCUCGCACAUGACAAAUAACAUCGUUUCGCAAUUUAAUUCAAACUGCAAGCCGAUUGAUACAGAUAUAUGUUAUCUAUAUCACGCAACAAUGUGUGGUGUAUUGUCACAUUCUGCAUCUUCUAUUAGAUAUUUCAAAGAUGCCCUCGUCCAUGGUACUGUAAGAGAUAUAUACAUAUGAAAAUUCGUAUGUAAAUUUAUCGGUAUGCACUCAAGGAUACAAAUAAAACCGAUCACGGACUUUUACUUUUGCGGUACCGGCGUGGGCAAAGCUCACGUCACUACGUGGAAGAUAGCAACCCACUCGAUAUUCAACUUAAGGCCUCGUCGCCGCUAGUAAAUUUGCAAAUGAGAGAAGAAGAAACGAAAGCUCUUGAGAGGCUGUGAAAUUUGUAGAAUGAUGAUUUCACGUAUCUAUUCUCGCGAUUUUACUGUCGACUUUUAACGCGGAAUUAUUUAUGAAGAAAGUUUCGAAAGAACGCGAGAGCUGGAUGAAAUAUUAAUGCACGAGAGUACACUCGGUUCAAAGAAAACGUCUGUAGUAUGCAGAAAGCCUGAAAGAUCGACAUUUCUGAGGUAAGUGGAUUUAUCAGACAAUUAUGAUAAUCAGAUUUUGCCCACGGAGCAAUCCGAGAACGCGAUUUGCUGAUACUUCUGUGCGAUGAGUCUUUCAUUACAUAAGAAGACACCGAAUCACGUGCAUGCGCGAGAAUGUGCACUUGAAGGUAAGAUUAUGUAAGAGGAUCGUACUUGGUACGGCUUCGCUGCAUUAGGAUGCAGCUUCUCGCGCGCCAUUUCAUCCGGACUCAUCUUACCGUUACCGUGUGAUGCAAAAAAAGAAAGCAAAGUAAUCGUACUUUUCAACAUUCUAAUUAGUUGCUUACAAAGAUUAUACUAACGGUAUAAAACUGAUGAUAUCUACUGACGGUCCAGUAAAUCUCUAUAUUUAUAUCUCUAUAAUAUAUUUGAUUUUAGAAUUAUGUAUUAUAUAUUACAUUGUGCAUCGUGUGCAUUACGUAUGCAUAAUCCCCUUCCUUAAUAUCGCAUUCGCAUUUUUAUUCGAAAGGGUCUCGAAGCCGGAAGGGUCAAACGGGCGUAAAUUUAUGCGGGGACGUCGAAGCUGUUUGACGUCGAUUUGGCAUGCAUGCGCGAGAAUCAGCCGGAGGGAGACUGCCCACACACCGCAAAUCCGUUCGCGACGCCCACACCAGGAGAGAUUCUCCACGAGGAUCACCGGGAAUCGCCCGUACACGCUGAGGUCAAAGACUGCCCCUCACCUCGUCCGUCCGACCUCAUCUUGUACGAGCACGCGGUGCGUAGUACCAGCGCGAAUUAUUGUUCCCUUUAGCGCGCCAGCCCUUAAAUUAUGCGCAGCUCCGGCGGUAGGUGUUGUUGCCAUUAAAUGCCGGGAGGAAACCAGUCUCCUCUCCUCCCCGGAAAGCGCACCGGGAAUUCAUCGUCGUCGCGUUGUGCACCUUCGCCCUUCGAGGGCAGGCAGGCAACGACGCAGGUGGUACGCACGGGCACCGGUUGCUGAAUCAAAUUGUCGAGUGCACGACACGGAUGCGUUCGUACGAUCGGAUACAUGACGCGCCUCCGCGUUCGUACUCCAGGAUAUUGCAGGAUUCCCGCUGAACUGGCUGUUUCCGUUCUUCGCAGGUCCUGGAGUGUUCCCAAUUGAAUUCACCGUGUCAAAAUCACCGUCGUGCGAUCAUCGCGGUCGCUGAACGCUUCCAUCAUCGAUACGGCGGUGCACUUUGCAUCGCCCCGGGAUCUACCUCGAUGUUAUUAUCGACCCGUCGAACGAGCGAGCAAUCCGUUAAGUCUCGGUCAGCGACUCGCGGCGUGUUUCUGCAUUGCAAAGGAAAGAAGCGACAGACGCCGGCUGCACGAACCAGAAAGUCAUCCCUUCGUUUCUCCCUUGCCGAAGAUCGCGUUAGUCAUACACGCCGAAUAUGACUCGCGUGCACACUCGGUGAUUACUGCUAUCUUUGUAGGCGGUUCGUAAAAGACUGAACGCGCACCUUGGAUUUAUGCGAGUGCCGCGGGGGCAGCUGGCGAUUAGAAAUCUGGCAUACGUUUGCAUCGGUAUAUAUCUGCCCCGUAUCAAAGCGGAGCAACGUGAACGACCCCGAACGAGCAAUUCCGAGCGAACCGUAAUGCCAAGCUGCUGCUUGAGACGUUCGCUAUAUCUUGCGAAGAUAAAUUUAUAGCGCGCACACGCGCGCACGAAUAAAACCCCGAGAUUAUUUUAUCUUUAAUUGCUGAUCCUGGAGAUAUCAUUAGGAUGCAUUCCCUCGUUGCGUUGACCGCGACCGCACGUCGCAAAUAUUUCAAUAUCGUCGACUCGGCAUCGCGAUGCUCGGUUCAUUAUCGGUAAAUGGAAGAAGGAACCGGGCAACGGUCCGUUAAAGACACAAACGCGAUUCUGCAUACGUACGCGCUAAUAUAAGGCGUAGCUCGUGUGCAUAUUACAUACAGGAUGUCCUAUAAAAUCACCAGUUAUUUCAACCAUCGCUUUAACCACGUUCCUUGACCAAUACGCAGCCGAUUUUUUCUGAACAGUCUCACGGUUCUCGAAUAAUUAAUUCUAGAAGCUAAGGAGCUUCCGGCAAACAAGGGAGAAAAUAGCUAAUGUAAAGUCAUACUGUAUCUAUUUAAUUUCAAAUUCACUUGAGAAUUCUAAUUUAAAGCCUAAAGAAAAACUUGCUUCAAGCUGAAGAUGAAUAAUGAUUUUACAUAAAUAUCUACAGUGUGAGUCGAGACGAGGACAAACGACGGCCUGUUCGACGCUAUUUUUGCCGAGGAAAAGCCAUCUCUUUGCAUUACUCGAAAAAAUUGGAGGGGCAUCCAUUAAAAUUCUAGAACACCCUGUAUAUCCCUCUUGUAACGUUCCCCGUAAGUCCGGUCACAUAACGGUCCAGUUAUGGUAUGGCGAGGAAGCGAUCUCUCGCCUCGACACACGAUUCCCUCGUUACACGAACGAGUCCUCCACCACCAUUGUCAUCACCACCGUCAUCACCAUCGCCGUCGUAUUUCCGUCUGCUGCUUUGGCUCGUCCUCCGACCGACGCGGCUCGCUUCUUCGAACGUGUACUUGCGCGUAUAUUCGUGCCUCGAUAUUUUCCUUCCCUUCCUUUUCUCUUUAUCAUCGACCAACAUACAGACGGUCGCGAUCGUUAUGGCGACCACGAUACGUGUCGAGAUAUUCGAUCGCAAGCAAGCAAGCAAGCACGUUCUUCUUCUUCCCCGUUUGUGCAUACACGUACGGCGGUUGAUAAUGACAUAAUGACGUAAUAAGAAUAAUGGUAAUAACAUUAGACAUGUUAAUCACUCUCAUUAACAUGAUUGCCGCGAUGGUAUCGCGCUUGUUAGACGGAACUACGCCUAUAGAGAGAGAGAGGACUUCCUUCCUGGAAUAUUUUUAAAACGAAUGUUUAUGCCUAUCCAUUCGAUCAUUCGAUUCGAACGUCUAUCAUUCGAUUCUUUAUCGCGCAGUGAAAUCAACCGUUAUGAUUUUAUCAUUAUACUUACAUUAUAUAUUAUAUAACUUUCAUUAUUA
rnacentral:lncRNA from 1 species